AUAUGAGCAUUAAGGUGGGUGUAUGGCCAUAAAAGCGAGUGUGCGGCCAGGGAGUGCGGUCAAGCUGUGUGUGCGGCUGCACACAGGAGUGUGCGGCCAUACAGAGGGUGUGUGCGGCCGUACACUCCUCAUUUGAGUCCAAAUUGUCGAUUUUGAAGUGUUUUCUCCUCACUUUGGAGAGUUUUGAAUGUGUGCCGCCACCUUAUGAAGGUGUGCGGCCGUGCACCUUCAAAGGACGAAGAACACAAAGAACACUAUGAGUUUUUGGCUUGGAUUCAAGUGUCUUACCACUAUAACAAGUUGGGUGAUGAAGUGGUUCCCGUUUUUGAGUCCUUAAUGAUGUUCUUGGAUGAAAUUUUUAGAGAGAGAAAGUAGAGAGAGAAAGUGGAGAGUAGCCAAAGGAGAAAAGAAUGAAUGAAGGGGGUCCUCCUCUAUAUAUAGAGGGAAGUGUGAGGCUGGAGAUGGGUGUGCGGCUGGUUGGUCGCACACUCAGGUGUGCGGCCACACACACCUUCCUUGGUGUGUUUGGAUUGAUUUUGUGAUGUUACACUCCUUCCAUACCUUCUUAAGACUCAUAUCUAAAAAAUACUAAGUCUAAAGCAUUCAUAUGGACCCACAAUUUCUCUAUAAGAUGAUAAAUUCGAGUGAAAUAUUGAUAUACGGAUCGAUUGUACAUGAUAAAAGUUUCGGGUUGUCACAUCAUCCCCCCGUUAGAGGGAAUUUCGUCCCAAAAUUCAGAAAUAUGGAUACAAAUCAUGGAUUCGGAAAAAGAUAAGGGUACUUCUGUUUCAUCUGAUCUUCGCGCUCCCAAGUGAAUUCAGGUCCCCGCUUGGCAUUCCAGCGAACCUUCACUAUCGGGAUGCGAGUUUGUUUCGUUCGUUUAACUUCCUUAUCCAUGAUUUCGAUUGGUUCUUCCACAAAGUUCAGAUUCUCAUUGAUUUCAAUCUCAUCGAGAGGAAUUGCAAGUGUCUCGUCGGAUAAGCACUUCUUAAGGUUCGAGACAUGGAAGACAGGAUGGAUGUUGCUAAGUUCUUGCGGUAAACGAAGUUUGUAAGCUACUGGACCGAUCCUAGCGAGGAUCUCAAAGGGUCCUAUGUAUCUUGGAUUUAGCUUUCCACACUUUCCGAAGCGUAUCAUGCCUUUCCAGGGCGAGACUUUCAACAGGACAUGGUCUCCAACCUGGAACUCCAAGGGUUUUCGUCGUUUAUCGGCGUAGCUCUUUUGUCUAUCACGGGAGGCCUUAAGUCGUUCUCAGAUUUGUAUAAUCUUUUCAGUGGUUUCGCGGAUGAUUUCUGGACCAGUGAGAGUGUUAUCGGGGACUUGCCCUUUGGUGAGCUGCAUGUCGCCCACCUCAGCCCAGCAUAGAGGCGAUCUGCACUUACGGCCAUAGAGGGCUUCGAAAGGCGCAACCUUGAUGCUGGUAUGAUAACUAUUGUUCUAUGAGAAUUCGACCAAGGGAAAAUGGGUGUCCCAUGAUUUACCGAAGUCGAUGACACAUGCUCUCAACAUGUCUUCCAAGGUCUGGAUGGUUCUCUCACUCUGUCCAUCUGUCUGAGGAUGAUAAGUUGUACUCAUAUCCAACUUAGUUCCAAGAGCUUUCUGUAGGGACUGCUAAAACCUCGAAGUGAACCUGCUAUCUCGAUCGGAGAUAAUGGAUACAGGCACACCGUGCAGUCGAACUAUCUCUUGGAUGUAGAUUCGUGUGAGUCUCUCCAUUUUGAAAGUUUCUUUGAUUGGCAGGAAGUGAGCGGAUUUAGUCAAUCGGUCGACUAUUACCCAGAUGGUGUCGUACCCACUCGGAGAUUUGGGUAAUUUGAUAAUGAAAUCCAUGGUAAUCCUCUCCCACUUCCACUCAGGUAUCUCGGGCUGUUGAAGUAGACCCAAGGGCUUCUGAUAUUCGACCUUCACCUUGGCACAAGUCAGACACUUGACCACAAAGGUAGCGAUCUUGGCUUUCAUGUUUGGCCACCAAUAUAACUUCUUGAGAUCAAAGUACAUCUUAUUCGAUCGUGGGUGGACUGAGUAUCUAGUUUUGUGAGCAUCGUUCAUGACAAUCCCUCUGUAACCACCAAACCUUGGGGUCCAAAUCCGAUCCAUGAAAUAGUAAACUCCGUCUCUCUUGAUCUCUAAGUUCUUUUCCAUUCCUCUCAAGACUUCUUCCGCCAUGUUCUCUGGUUUCAGGGCUUGUCGCUGAGCCUCUCGGAUUUGCGCGGAUAAGUAGGAAUGGAUGGUCAUUGUCAGUGUCUUUACCUUGCAGCCGGAACUUUCCUUACGGCUAAGGGCAUCUGCCACCACAGUGGCCUUGUCGGGAUGGUAGCGGAUUUCACAAUCGUAAUUGCUGAGUAGUUCUACCCAUCGCCGUUGUCUCAUGUUUAAGUCUUUCUGGUCGAAGAUGUGCUGCAGGCUUUUAUGGUCAGUGAAGAUCGUGCACUUUGUUCCGUAGAGAUAAUGUCUCUAAAUCUUUAGUGCGAAGACCACUGCUCCUAACUCCAGGUCGUGAGUUGUGUAGUUAACUUCGUGUGCUGUCAGCUGUCUCGAGGCGUAAGCAAUAACCUUUCCUCGUUGCAUAAGUACACAUCCUAAGCCCUGGUUGGAUGCAUCGCAGUAGACAACGAAGUCUUCCGUCCCUUCGGGCAGAGACAGAAUAGGUGCGCUGCACAAGGCUCGCUUCAAUGUUUGGAAUGCAGUGUCUUGCUUUUCACUCCAACAAAAGGGUACACCUUUCUGCGUUAGAGUGGUUAGGGGUUUGGCAAUUCUGGAUGAAUCUGCGAUAGUAGCCAGCGAGACCCAAGAAUUGACAGAUUUAUGUGGGUGUCUUCGGUGCUGACCAAUUCUCUAUCGCUUUGAUUUUGGAUGGAUCCACAUGUAUGCCUUCCUUACUUACCAUGUGACCCAAGAAAGUUACUUUCCGAAUCCAGAAUUCACACUUGGAGAAUUUCACGUAUAGUCUUUCUGUUCUUAGAGUUUCCAACACUAAUCUUAAGUGUUGUUUGUGAUCUUCCUCGCUUUUGGAAUAGACAAGUAUAUCGUCUAUGAACAUGAUAACAAACUUGUAUAGGAAAAGACGACACACCCGGUUCAUCAAGUCCAUGAACACUGUCAGUGCGUUGGUUAGACCGAAGGGCAUUACUACGAAUUCAUAGUGACCAUAUCGAGUCCGAAAUGUUGUUUUAGGAACAUCACUCUCAUGGACUCGUAACUGAUGGUACCCUGAUCUGAGGUCUAUCUUGGAGAAGUAGCUGGCUCCUUGAAGUUGGUCGAAGAGGUCGUUGAUCCGAGGAAGAGGAUAGCGGUUCUUAACAGUGAGUUUGUUCAGCUCUCGGUAGUCAAUGCACAUCUGAAAAGAUCCAUCUUUCUUUUUCACAAAUAAAACUGGGGAUCCCCAGGGUGAGGAACUCGGUCUAAUGAAUCCUUUGCUGAGUAGCUCAUUGAGUCGGCUGGACAACUCUUGCAUUUCUGCUGGCGCUAGGCGAUAUGGAGACUUAGCCACGGGGGUAGCUCCGGGGAUUAAGUCGAUGCGAAACUCGACUUGGCGCUCAGGAGGAAUUCUCGGAAUCUCUUCAGGAAAGACAUCAGGAAAGUUGCAGACUUCGGGGAUGCUCUCGAGGUCCUUAACUUCCUUUUCCUCAUUUACAACAUGAGCUAGAAAUGCAUGACACUCCUUUCGUAGAAGUUUUUGGCUUUGAUGCACGAGAUGAUUCGAAGGCUGGAGCUAAGUUUAUCACCAUAGAUCAUGAGGGUUUCGCUAGAGAGGAGAUUGAGACAGAUAGCUUUUUCGAAACAGAGAAUAUCAUCACGAUUGGGGCUCAACCAAUCCAUGCCAAUGAUGACGUCGAAGCUUUUUAUGGAAACUGGCAUAAGAUCGAUGGGAAAGGAAUGUUCGUUUAGGGUAAGGGUACAGCCCAUGUAUAUCUCGUUAGAACUCUCUUUCUCACCGUUAGCCAUCUCGACAGUAAACAUUUUGGUUAAUGGUUGAGAUUUAUGUUUAAGAAAACGCUUGAAUGCAUGACUAACAAAACUUCUUUCAGCACCGGAAUCGAAAAGAAUGCAUGCAUAAGAUUUGUCGAGGAGGAACGUACCCGUCACAACGGUAGGAUCAAAAACUUCCUCCUCUUUCCCCAUUGUUAGAACUCUCCCAGUGUUGACAGUCAUUGCUGUUUUGGGGAAAUUUAUCUUGUAGUGCCCGACCUCACCACAACCAUAACAGGCUUGACUGACACCUGCUCCGGAUGCUUGAUUGGUCGGUUGGGCUAGUGUUCUGCAAUUUCGGGCAAUGUGACCCUUCUUGCCACAAUUGUUGCAGAGGAUUUCACGACAUGGGUCAGGGAUACGGUGGUGGUAAUUGCACUUACUGCACCAAGGGAGGGUAUAAGUAUAUCCACUAGUAGGUGCUUGAGUUGCAGGAGCAGCAGCAGGGGUAGUGGCAGCAUGGACUGCCACAGUUUGUUGUUUCUUGGAGGACCCUUGCGAACUCUGACCCUUCUUCUGUUUCCAAAAUUUUCUUUUCUCACCACUCCCUUUAGCCGGUUCAGGAGCGGUGGCCACCUCAUCGAGAUCGACUCCAUGAUCGAUCAGAGUCUGCGCCAAGCACUUAGCGCUGUCAAAGGUGUUUGGCCUAGCAGCCAAAACAUUUCCUUUGGUUGGUUGGGUCAGCCCCCAAAUGAAUCUUUCAAUCUUUUUGCUUUCCGGGGUGACCAUUCCUGGGCAGAGAAGCGCUAGGUCUUCAAACCUAGAUGUGUAGGCAGCAAUAUCGUAACCUUUCAUCUUUAGGUUCCAAAGUUCGUGCUCCAACUUCUGCAUUUCACCUCGAGGGCAGUACUCAGCAAUCAUGAGCUCUUUCAGGCUCUCCCAACCCAUAUCGUUUGCCACUGGUAGGGUUAGGGAUUUGACCUGACCGUUCCACCAGGUCAGUGCCCUGUUGGCGAAGGUGCAAGCGGCAAAUUUUACUUUGUUGACCUAAGAACAAGAACAUAUUUCAAAAAUGGACUCAAUUUUCUCGAUCCAUUGAGUCAGGGAAAUAACACCUCCAGUGCCGUCGAAGGAUGUAGUUUUUGCGUUCAUGAAGUCUUUAUAGGAACACUCCUUCUGGUGUCCCUGACUACCUUCCUGAUUUUGGGGAUGGGUACCACCUCCUGGACCUCCAGAACCACCGGGGUUCAUCUGUGACAUUUUCGGCAGCCACAGCGGCAGUAACAGCUGCCUGGAACAUUGUAGGAUCAAAUUGAGGAGGUGGUGGUGGAGGAUUGUUGUUCUUUGAGCUGGGUAUUUUCUUUGGAGGCAUCUAGAUCUAAAAUGAUCAGGAAAGAGAGGAUGGUAAGUCCUCUGAAUUGAAUCAAGAGAUAUGAAACAAGAUGUAUCUCUAUAUGAUAGAUAAAGUGUUCUACUAAGCGAUAGACAGGAAAGAGUUGCUAAAGCAAGUAAACUAUCGCUAAGGAAAGAAUGAGUAACAACAUUUGGAAUGACUUUCCACAACGUAUUCGGCUCUGACUAAAAUACUCCUAUAGUAUUUUAUGGUUUGUUGCGACGAUGACUUGUUGUUUGGGAUUUUGGUAAGUUUUAGGCCUGUUGUACACCACAGUCACUCCCAAGCACAUGUUGGCCGUGUCUCGAAUGAAUAUAGUUGAUCAGGCUAUAUUGACCCUAGACACGACUACAUAACUGCCCAGGUUUAACCGCAGUGCCCAACACCCAAUUACUUUUGUUUCGUUCUACUCGUGGUUACUAAUUCUGAUAUGUAGGUAUACUUGUAUACUUGGAGUAUAAAUACUUAUAUUUUUAAAGUAUACUUUUAGUUCAGAGCACUUCAGCCCCUUAGUAUUUAUAAUUGUAUACCAUGUAAGGUUCGGUAUACUUAGUUCACUAUAAACAAUAGCUCUGAUACCAACCUGUCACACCCUGAAACCGAUGGCGAAAACAUUCCGGGGCGGCGAUGUCAUACGUAGUAUCACAACAAUCGUAUCAUAGCAAGCAUAGUAAACACAACCAUUACAUUACGAUAUGAAUAUUUACAUCAGUUGAAAACAUGGUUUAUACAUCAUAAUAUAUAACAAAAGAUAAAGACGAGACUCCAAAAAUGCUCCGUCUUCUCCAAAAGCUGGCUAGGUACCUAUCUAUCGUUGCCCUGAGAAUACAAGCGGUUUUGAAAACAUAUCAGCAUAAAGCUGGUGAGUUCAUAAGCAUGUUCUUGUAUUGAAAACUAGUCACUGAAUUAGUAUAAAUCUUCUCUUUCAUUUAUAAGUAAAUAUCGUUUAUAUCGAAAAUCGUUGUUACCAAGUUCUGAAAUACGUAUACAUGCUUACCAAGAAAAUCCAAUAUUUUCUAACAUGUUUGUUGGUUUCUGAAUGAAAGGUACGUUUUGUCUGAAAACCCUGGCUACCACCAGUAUGUAAUGUAUAAUCGUUCGGAAAACCCUGGUUACCACCAGUACGUAUAAUAGUUUUAUUACUUAAAAUAAAACUAUAGAUUUUGUCCCUGGAAUACCCUCUAGUAAGUAGAUAAGUAGUUUUAUUAGUUGAAAUAAAACUAUAGAAUAAAGAAAUCCUGUAAACAAUGAUUAGUUUAUACUUAUUGUGAGUCGUAUAACCAUACUAAUUUGACCCGUGACCUCCUUGACGUUCUUCAGGCGUUGUACGAUUCAAAAAUUUGUCACCCCAGGCAUGCCUGCCUAACUGUAGCUAACAGUUCAGGUGUGGGAUUGUCGGUCCCAAAUAGAUAUAUUCACAAAUUUCACACUCUCCCUCCAGGAGACACUGGUUAUACUACCGGUGAGGAUUUAUUGGUACCCCGAGGGGCAAAACGAAGAUAGUCUCACAAUCCUGUAUUAACUAGUUUACGUGUUUGUUCGGUUAUCCUUGAGUUCGAAUUCGUUUGUAACGGUAUAGAGUAUAAUAAUUAUACAUAAAAUAAUUAUUUAGCAUGAUACUCUAGUUUUGUAUUCAUGGUAAUGGAUAAACUAAAUUUGACAUAGUUUAUAUGUUUGACUCUGCAUGAUGUUUAAACAUGUAAGACUGAUAAUGAAAUCCUAAACUAUACCUAUUAUAGUUUGAAUGGUUGUUACGUUCGGGUAUGGUUUUGAAAACUAUGCAAUUAUGAAUUGAAAACAUCCUUUAUGCUCUUCAUAAUACAAGAGGGAUAAUUGUAUCUAAUCGUUUGAUAGAAAAUCAUUGUAAUUGCAUCAGUUUUUAAAUUAUGAAAACCUUUAUGUUUAGCUUGUAUUCCCUCCUGAAAACAUGAAAAACUCAAAAAAGUGUAGGGGUAUGAACUCACAGUUUAACGUAGGAUUCGAUGUUGCGAUUAGUUAUAAGCGUCGAGUGUCAACCGGUGUUUUGCACGCGUAUAGAACCUAAGAACAUAUAUUGCACAUAUAUGUAUUAGAUUGAGUAUCCCAUGAUACAUCAUGAUGGAAAACCACCCUAAAAGCUUGGAAUCACUAGAACUAAGGGUUCUAUGUCUCAUACUUAGGGAUCUUUACAAGUUUAAAGCCAAAUAUGAGCAUUAAGGUGGGUGUAUGGCCAUAAAAGCGAGUGUGCGGCCAGGGAGUGCGGUCAAGCUGUGUGUGCGGCUGCACACAGGAGUGUGCGGCCAUACAGAGGGUGUGUGCGGCCGUACACAGGAGUGUGCGGCCGUACACUCCUCAUUUGAGUCCAAAAUGUCGAUUUUGAAGUGUUUUCUCCUCACUUUGGAGAGUUUUGAAUGUGUGCCGCCACCUUAUGAAGGUGUGCGGCCGUGCACCUUCAAAGGACGAAGAACACUAUGAGUUUUUGGCUUAGAUUCAAGUGUCUUACCACUAUAACAAGUUGGGUGAUGAAGUAGUUCCUGUUUUUGAGUCCUUAAUAAUGUUCUUGGAU
rnacentral:lncRNA from 1 species